UUUUGCAAGACCCACAGGAGAAGAGCAUAAAGCCGGUGUUCCUUGGACAGGCAGGCAGCCUGGUCCAAGUGCAUCUAUAAACCGUAACCGCCCACACCCAAAGGCAGCGUGUAAGACAAAAAAAGCAGUUUAGAAGAUUCCCAUUAGCAAGGAUAAAAGAGGACCACUAUGGGCCAGAUGAAAGGGACUCAUCUCUACCCAGGGCACUGAGCACUGUUUAAGCACUCUUAAAGUCGGCUAAUACUAACGAUCAGCCCUCAUUGUAAGCACUCCCUCUGAUGUUCAUUUUCCAGUAAAUAAGCAAAGAUGUUGGGGGAUGGGCUAUCUGACUUCCUAAUUGGCAGCUGUUGGACUCUCCUUUGUUGCCCUGGCCGCCUUGAGCAAAAGGACUGUCAAUCAAAAGCCAGCUGGACUACACUUAAUGCCAACACUGGCUGUGUCGAAUACUCCACAGGCGCUUUGAGAGGACAACGCUCUGAAUGCAGCUGGCUGUUCCUGCACCUGAAGGGGUGGCCUCGGCCAGGGCUGUUCAAACAGACAGCAACUGGACUGUUUGGUAUCACAAGCCUCAGUGAACUCAGGUUACCCUGUAACCACUUCCAACCUAAGCCAGAGGGGGAGUGCCAUGGAGAGAAAAGCGGCUGUGACUAGGGCUAAAGAGACAGGGCUCUGAUUGGUGCAAACACAAACCCUCAUUUGCAUGUGGUUUGCUCUGAUUGGAGCAAGCUCCCCUCCCUCCUCUAGCUACAGAAGCAGGCAAUUUAGUAAGCAUCCUGGCAGACGCACCUUCUUGUACUGCCUUCCCAUGUAGCAAUGUUAUGCCCAAUAAAAGGCUUCUCUUGA
rnacentral:lncRNA from 1 species